UUCAUUGUUACGAAGAAGCACUGCUUGAUAUAUUUAGCGGUUGCUUUCACCAUUUCACUAGGAACAUAUUUGGGGUACUUCCGUACACAGAUGAAAAAGAAAUUUAACAUCAAAGGUAGUGAUAGUUCCUUGGAUGAUUGCAUCUACCAUCUUAUCUGCCCAUGCUGUGCAUUAUGUCAGG